GUUAGUGGCGGACGGGUGAGUAACGCGUGGGAAUCUGCCCUCAGGAGGGGGAUAACGGUUGGAAACGGCCGCUAAUACCCCAUAUGCCGAGAGGUGAAAUGAAUUUCGCCUGAGGAUGAGCCCGCGUCUGAUUAGCUAGUUGGUGAGGUAAGAGCUCACCAAGGCAUCGAUCAGUAGCUGGUCUGAGAGGAUGAUCAGCCACACUGGGACUGAGACACGGCCCAGACUCCUACGGGAGGCAGCAGUGGGGAAUUUUCCGCAAUGGGCGAAAGCCUGACGGAGCAACGCCGCGUGAGGGAUGAAGGCCUCUGGGCUGUAAACCUCUUUUAUCAAGGAAGAAGAUCUGACGGUACUUGAUGAAUAAGCCACGGCUAAUUCCGUGCCAGCAGCCGCGGUAAUACGGGAGUGGCAAGCGUUAUCCGGAAUUAUUGGGCGUAAAGCGUCCGCAGGCGGCCCUACAAGUCUGCUGUUAAAAAGUGGAGCUUAACUCCAUCAUGGCAGUGGAAACUGUUGGGCUUGAGUGUGGUAGGGGCAGAGGGAAUUCCCGGUGUAGCGGUGAAAUGCGUAGAUAUCGGGAAGAACACCAGUGGCGAAGGCGCUCUGCUGGGCCAUCACUGACGCUCAUGGACGAAAGCCAGGGGAGCGAAAGGGAUUAGAUACCCCUGUAGUCCUGGCCGUAAACGAUGAACACUAGGUGUCGGGGGAAUCGACCCCUCCGGUGUCGUAGCCAACGCGUUAAGUGUUCCGCCUGGGGAGUACGCACGCAAGUGUGAAACUCAAAGGAAUUGACGGGGGCCCGCACAAGCGGUGGAGUAUGUGGUUUAAUUCGAUGCAACGCGAAGAACCUUACCAGGGUUUGACAUCCUGCGAAUCUCUUGGAAACUUGAGAGUGCCUUCGGGAGCGCAGUGACAGGUGGUGCAUGGCUGUCGUCAGCUCGUGUCGUGAGAUGUUGGGUUAAGUCCCGCAACGAGCGCAACCCACGUCUUUAGUUGCCAGCAUUUAGUUGGGCACUCUAGAGAGACCGCCGGUGAUAAACCGGAGGAAGGUGUGGAUGACGUCAAGUCAUCAUGCCCCUUACAUCCUGGGCUACACACGUACUACAAUGCUACGGACAAAGGGCAGCAAGUUCGCGAGGACAAGCAAAUCCCAUAAACCGUGGCUCAGUUCAGAUCGUAGGCUGCAACUCGCCUACGUGAAGGAGGAAUCGCUAGUAAUCGCAGGUCAGCAUACUGCGGUGAAUACGUUCCCGGGCCUUGUACACACCGCCCAUCACACCAUGGAAGUUGGCCACGCCCGAAGCCGUUACUCCAACCCUUGUGGAGG
rnacentral:rRNA from 1 species